rnacentral:snRNA from 1 species
UUACCAAAAAAAAAAGGGGACUCCCCAGGGCGAGGCCUGCCCCUUGCACUCUGGGCAUGCUGGCCCCUGCAAUUUCCCCAAAUGCAGGAAACUCGACUGCAUAAUUUGUGGUAGUGUGGGACUGCGUGCGCGCUUUCCCCCG